rnacentral:tRNA from 1 species
GGCGACAUCGCCAAGUGGUAAGGCAGAAGCCUGCAAAGCUUUUACCCUCGGUUCGAAUCCGAGUGUCGCCUCCA